GUGACGGAUUCCUCGAUACUCGUGGAACCCCGCCAAACAAGAGUCGAGCUUCAGCUGUGGUGGCCAUUAUUACGGCGGUCCGAUACUAUCGAGAUGCGUGGAACGAAAGAUGUGAAGCCGUGUGAUUCUCGGGAUUGGACCUAUGCACCCGCAGUUCUAUACACGAAGACGAAGGCAAUUGACCCCAUCUCUCCGACAAUCAUCAUGCUCACUAAUAAUUACCAUUAAUUGCGCAAUUGAUGAAAUUAGAUGAG
rnacentral:misc_RNA from 1 species